rfam:Anncaliia algerae PRA109 cont4.3104, whole genome shotgun sequence.
GCUCCCUUAGCUCAGCUGGUUAGAGCGUGGUGCUAAUAACGCCAAGGUCUUGGGUUCGAUCCCCAAAGGGAGCA